GUUGCCAUGGAUCCUUUUCUUAAUGAUUAUUAUUAUUGUUCUCAUUCAAAGUUUGUUUCAUUUACAAAUCACCGACGGCACUGGCAAAGAACG